UACGUAGGUGGCAAGCGUUGUCCGGAUUUACUGGGCGUAAAGAGCGCGCAGGCGGUCGUUCAAGUCGCGUGUGAAAGCCCCCGGCUCAACUGGGGAGGGUCACGCGAUACUGAUCGACUCGAAGGCAGGAGAGGGUAGUGGAAUUCCUGGUGUAGCGGUGAAAUGCGUAGAUAUCAGGAGGAACACCUGUGGUGUAGACAGCUUACUGGACCAUAACUGACGCUGAGGCACGAAAGCGUGGGUAGCAAACAGG
rnacentral:rRNA from 1 species